UACGAAGGGGGCUAGCGUUGCUCGGAAUCACUGGGCGUAAAGGGUGCGUAGGCGGGUCUUUAAGUCAGGGGUGAAAUCCUGGAGCUCAACUCCAGAACUGCCUUUGAUACUGAGGAUCUUGAGUUCGGGAGAGGUGAGUGGAACUGCGAGUGUAGAGGUGAAAUUCGUAGAUAUUAGGAAGAACACCAGUGGCGAAGGCGGCUCACUGGCCCGGUACUGACGCUGAGGCGCGAAAGCCGUGGGG
rnacentral:rRNA from 1 species